rnacentral:rRNA from 1 species
AGUUUUGCUCCAAGGACCAAUCGGACCUUGGCGAAAGGCUCAGUAACACGUCGAUAAUCUACCUUAUGGUUCAGGAUAACCUUGGGAAACUGAGGAUAAAACUGAAUAGAAGAUUGAUAUUGGAAUAUACUUUCUUUGAAACUUCGGGCCAUAAGAUGAGUCGGCGGCUGAUUAGGUUGUUGGUGAGGUAAAGGCUCACCAAGCCGAAGAUCAGUAAGGGGGAUGAGAGUCCUAGCCCUGAGAAGGACACUGAGAAAAGGGUCCUAGCCCUAAGGGGUGCAGCAGCCGCGAAACCUUUACAAUGCACGAAAGUGUGAUAAGGGAAUCCCAAGUGCUUACCUUACGGUAGGCUUUUGUUGAGUGUAAAUACCUCGACGAAUAAGUGGUGGGCAAUACUGGUGCCAGCAGCCGCGGUAACACCAGAGCCACGAGUGGUAACCAUGAUUAUUGGGCCUAAAGGGUUCGUAGCCGAUUUAGCAACUCUUUUGUGAAAUUGUUAGGCUUAACUUAACAAUGUGCAAAAGAAACUACUAAGUUAGAGACCGGGAAAGGAUAGAGGUAUUCUUUGGGAAGCGGUUAAAUGCUUUAAUCCUUAGAAGACCGCCAAUGGCGAAGGCAUCUAUCUAGAACGGGUCUGACGGUGAGGAACGAAAGCUAGGGGAGCAAACCGGAUUAGAUACCCGAGUAGUCCUAGCUGUAAACGCUGUGAACUGGGUGUUGCAUAUUCUUCGAGGAUGUGCAGUGCCGGAGCGAAGGUGUUAAGUUCACCGCCUGGGAAGUACGGCCGCAAGACUGAAACUUUAAGGAAUUGGCGGGGGCGCACUACAAGGAGUGAGGCGUGCGGUUUAAUCUAAGUCUACACAGAAAAUCUUACCAGAAGCGACGGCAAAAUGAAGGUCAGAUUAAAGGUUUUACCUAAUGAGCCGAGAGGUGCUGCAUGGCCGACGUCAGCUCGUGCCGCAAGGUGUCAUGUUAAGUCAUGCAACGAGCAAGACCUGUACUUACAGUUGCUAUCGAGUCAAUUUGAUGUUCGAGCACACUGUGGGGACUGCCUUGGUAACGAGGAGGAAGGUGCAGGCAACGUUGGGUCUGUAUGGCCCGAAUCUCCUGGGAUACACGCGCGCAUCAAUGGUAAGGACAAUGGGAUACGACUCUGAAAAGAGAAGUUAAUCUCUAAACCUUAUCUCAGUCUAGAUUGAAGGUUGUAACUCACCUUCAUGACACUGGAAUUCCUAGUAAUCGUGUUUCAUCAGAGCACGGUGAAUAUGUCAAUGUGCCUUGCACACACUACCCAUCAAAUCAACCGAGCAGGGUUUAGGUGAGUGUUAAUUUUUAAUUAAUACGAACCUGAGUUCAGUGAGGUGGGUUAAGUUGUCACAAGGUA